AUAACAUUCCCUGGGAAACACACAGGUUGGCAGUACAACAGAGACCCUACCUCGAGCUUGAAGCAUGCGUUAUGGGUCAAGUUGUAUCUUUCAAAAGAAGACAUAAUGAAGACCUAACUCUCAGUCCCUCAGAAUGUGGCCUCAUUUGGAAAUAGGGUCUUCAUUAAGUGUGAGAACACAGCAACAAGAGACAAGGCACCAUCCAUGGAGCAGAGAGCAGCCCUCACCAAACACCAGAUCCUUCCAGCACUUGGAUCUUGGACUUCACAGACUCUACAAGGACAAGAAAGAAAAAGGCCAUCAACACGCUCUGCCACUCACACCUCAGCCCAGCCUACACCAAAGCUUUAGGCUGCUGUCAGGUCUUCCUAGCGAGCAGUCUUGCUUUCCCUCCCAAGGGACCAUGUCAAGGCAAACCAAGGUAGAAAAAUAUCUUCCCUUUCCCAUCUUUCUCAUGUGCGUGACAAGAGAAAAUGAAGGUUCGCUGAAGCCCACAUGGGACUGUGAGUGGACGGAGCCUCCCAUAAAUCUUCAUUCAUGACUUCGAUGGAAGGGAGACGGGAUGCCACCAGAUCUACCAACACCAUCCAUUUCCUUUUUAGAAGAUUCAGGCUGCAGGCCAGCCUUUCACC